rnacentral:rRNA from 1 species
GGGUGAGUAACACGUGAGCAACCUGCCCUCCACUUCGGGAUAAGCCUUGGAAACGGGGUCUAAUACCGGAUAUGAGCACUCAUCGCAUGGUGGGUGUUGGAAAGUUUUUCGGUGGGGGAUGGGCUCGCGGCCUAUCAGCUUGUUGGUGGGGUGAUGGCCUACCAAGGCGUCGACGGGUAGCCGGCCUGAGAGGGCGACCGGCCACACUGGGACUGAGACACGGCCCAGACUCCUACGGGAGGCAGCAGUGGGGAAUAUUGCACAAUGGGCGAAAGCCUGAUGCAGCGACGCCGCGUGAGGGAUGACGGCCUUCGGGUUGUAAACCUCUUUCAGCAGGGAAGAAGCGCAAGUGACGGUACCUGCAGAAGAAGCGCCGGCUAACUACGUGCCAGCAGCCGCGGUAAUACGUAGGGCGCAAGCGUUGUCCGGAAUUAUUGGGCGUAAAGAGCUCGUAGGCGGUUUGUCGCGUCUGGUGUGAAAUCCCGAGGCUCAACUUCGGGCUUGCAUCGGGUACGGGCAGACUAGAGUGCGGUAGGGGAGACUGGAAUUCCUGGUGUAGCGGUGGAAUGCGCAGAUAUCAGGAGGAACACCGAUGGCGAAGGCAGGUCUCUGGGCCGCAACUGACGCUGAGGAGCGAAAGCAUGGGGAGCGAACAGGAUUAGAUACCCUGGUAGUCCAUGCCGUAAACGUUGGGCACUAGGUGUGGGGCUCAUUCCACGAGUUCCGUGCCGCAGCUAACGCAUUAAGUGCCCCGCCUGGGGAGUACGGCCGCAAGGCUAAAACUCAAAGGAAUUGACGGGGGCCCGCACAAGCGGCGGAGCAUGCGGAUUAAUUCGAUGCAACGCGAAGAACCUUACCAAGGCUUGACAUGCACCGGAAACACUCAGAGAUGGGUGCCCCGCAAGGUCGGUGUACAGGUGGUGCAUGGUUGUCGUCAGCUCGUGUCGUGAGAUGUUGGGUUAAGUCCCGCAACGAGCGCAACCCUCGUCCCAUGUUGCCAGCGGGUUAUGCCGGGGACUCAUGGGAGACUGCCGGGGUCAACUCGGAGGAAGGUGGGGAUGACGUCAAAUCAUCAUGCCCCUUAUGUCUUGGGCUUCACGCAUGCUACAAUGGCCGGUACAGAGGGCUGCGAUACCGUAAGGUGGAGCGAAUCCCAAAAAGCCGGUCUCAGUUCGGAUUGGGGUCUGCAACUCGACCCCAUGAAGUCGGAGUCGCUAGUAAUCGCAGAUCAGCAACGCUGCGGUGAAUACGUUCCCGGGCCUUGUACACACCGCCCGUCA